rnacentral:misc_RNA from 1 species
GAUGAAGAACGUAGCGAAAUGCGAUACUUGGUGUGAAUUGCAGAAUCCCGUGAACCAUCGAGUCUUUGAACGCAAGUUGCGCCUCAAGCCAUUAGGUUGAGGGCACGUCUGCCUGGGCGUCACAUAUCGUUGCCUGAUGCCAGUUUCCUCGUGAUGGGUGACUGUGCAGGGCGAAUGAUGGCUUCCCGUGAGCAUUGUUGCCUCAUGGUUGGUUGAAAAUUGAGUCCUUGGUAGGGAGCGCCGUGAUAGAUGGUGGUUGAGUGACGAACGAGACCCAAUCAUGUGAGACCCCUACCGAAUUUGGCCUUCAUGACCCACAUGCGUCUAUGGAACGCUCAUGACGAGACCUCAGGUCAGGCGGGGCUACCCGCUGAGUUUAAGCAUAUCAAUAAGCGGAGGA